AUGAAGACGAGGGCACAAGACGGCAUCUUCCUUCCGAACCGCAAGUACAUCGACACCAGCGAAGCACCUGCAACUCCCUCCUCGCCUCAGUCACCAGAGGUUGACGACGAUGAGGAGGACCCUGACUAUGAGCUUGGUCUGGUACUUGGGCAGGAACCAGGCACGUUUGAAGAAGCUGAGCCUCACGAGUGCUGGCAGCUGGCCAUGGCAGAUGAAAUGGCCGCGAUCGAGGCUAACCAUACCUGGACUUUGGUUGAUCUACCACGAGGGCAUCGUCCGAUUGGACUGAAGUGGAUUUAUAAGGUGAAAAAGGAUGUUGUUGGUGAAAUAGUGAAACACAAAGCACGCUUGGUGGCAAAGGGAUAUGUGCAGAAACAAGGCAUUGACUAUGAGGAAGUUUUUGCACCAGUGGCAAGAAUGGAGUCAGUGCGCUUGCUUCUCGCCAUGGCAGCCAGAGCAGGCUGGACAGUGCAUCACAUGGAUGUGAAGUCUGCAUUUCUGAAUGGUGAGCUCAAGGAAGAGGUGUACGUGACACAGCCGCCAGGGUUUAUCGUUGCAGGGCAAACCAGCAAGGUUCUGAGGCUGGACAAAGCCUUGUAUGGGCUGAAACAGGCCCCAUGA
rnacentral:rRNA from 1 species